rnacentral:rRNA from 1 species
AGGCCGGAAACGUUUGCGGCGGGCCUAACACAUGCAAGUCGAACGCACUAGCAAUAGUGAGUGGCGCACGGGUGCGUAACACGUGGGUAAUCAACCCUUCAGCUUGGGAUAACGACUUGAAAGGGUUGCUAAUACCGGAUACGGCGCGGGAGGCUUCGGCUUCUCACGAGAAAGCCUCGCAAGGGGCACUGAAGGACGAGCCUGCGGCCCAUCAGCUAGUUGGUGAGGUAAGAGCUCACCAAGGCGAAGACGGGUAACUGGUCUGAGAGGAUGAUCAGCCACACUGGAACUGAGACACGGUCCAGACUCCUACGGGAGGCAGCAGCGGGGAAUAUUGCGCAAUGGGCGAAAGCCUGACGCAGCCACGCCGCGUGAGCGAUGAAGGCCUUCGGGUCGUAAAGACGUCUGUGGGGAGGAGACGAAGAAAGA